rnacentral:rRNA from 1 species
UUACGGGAGGCAGCAGUAAGGAAUAUUGGGCAAUGGAGGCAACUCUGACCCAGCCAUCCCGCGUGAAGGAUUAAGGCCCUAUGGGUUGUAAACUUCUUUUGUUUGGGAAGAAAUCAGGACAUUUAUGUGCUGUUGACGGUACCUUACGAAUAAGCACCGGCUAACUCCGUGCCAGCAGCCGCGGUAAUACGGAGGGUGCAAGCGUUAUCCGGAAUCACUGGGUUUAAAGGGUGCGUAGGCGGUUUGAUAAGUCAGAGGUGAAAGCUAGCAGCUUAACUGUUAAAUUGCCUUUGAUACUGUCAGACUUGAAUCAAGUUGAGGUAGGCGGAAUGUGACAUGUAGCGGUGAAAUGCAUAGAUAUGUCAUAGAACACCAAUUGCGUAGGCAGCUUGCUGGGCUUGAAUUGACGCUGAGGCACGAAAGCGUGGGGAUCAAACAGGAUUAGAUACCCCGGUAGUCCU